ACGAAAACGUUCCGCGAUGAGGAGUGGUUUAGGUGAUUUUGCAAUAUCUCCACAAUCUCUGUGAAUGUUUUAUUUGAGGGCUUCAGAGGGGCAGUCAGAUCUCUUAGCAAACUGUACGUUUUUGGACCAAUUAAACUCAACGCUGGUUCUCUCUUGUUAUCAGCAAUGUCGUUUGCAAUUAAGUACUGUUCCAGUCGUUCAAUGGUCAUAAUCUUCCUCUUACAGGGUCAUAAUCUUCCUCUCUUCCUACGAGCUCCAUCUGCAUUCGUGAUGCACACUGCAGCAGUGAUGGAUGCCGCGGUGUUCUGAUAAAGGAGGUCCGACCUGAAUCCCAGGGUUAAAAUACGGUUCCGGAAGGGCGUUGGGAAUUGCCCACCCUCUGUUCACCCCAGUGGAACUCUUUUUCCCUUUGAGGAGUUUAAAAUAGUGAAGUACAGUUAUACAUUGAUAUUGUGUACUGUUAUUGUUAAAAUAAUGCUUGUAUAUAACGUUAUCAUUAUUGUAGAAAUGUAAAACUUGAUGGUUAGCAGACUUGCCUUGGAGCUGGCCACUCCCCUUAUAGUCUCCGUGGAACGUCCCAUCAAUGAGUUGAUUUUUGGUUUAUGUACGUUCUGUUCCUGCACGUUAUAGCUUAGUUAUUUUUAAGUUAAUACUUUAUAGGACUGUCCGUUUUUCAAGUAAUUUAGCCCUUGGUAUAUUUUAAAGCACUUUGGUUUAUUUCCUUGUCAUAAUUUGUAUCAUCCAAGUUUUGAUAAAUAAAAACCCUUAUUGUUUAA